GCCGGGAUAGCUCAGCUGGGAGAGCGACAGACUGAAGAUGUUGUUUGCAAUCGAGGCAAUCUUCCACUGAUUUCUGCAGGUCAGGUGUUCAAUCCACCUUCCUGGCA